rnacentral:rRNA from 1 species
GGAGGGUGCAAGCAUUGAUCGGAAUUAUUGGGCGUAAAGGGCGCGUAGGCGGCCAGGUAAGUCAGAUGUGAAAUUCCGCGGCUCAACCGCGGAGCUGCAUUUGAAACUGCUUGACUUGAGCAUAGUUAGGGAAAACGGAAUUCCACGUGUAGCGGUGAAAUGCGUAGAUAUGUGGAAGAACACCGGUGGUGAAGACGGUUUUCUGGGCUAUUGCUGACGCUGAGGCGCGAAAGCUAGGGGAGCAAAC